rnacentral:lncRNA from 1 species
GGUUUGUUUGUGUCGCCCUGGCUGUCUUAGAACUCACUCUGUAGACCAAGCUGACCUUAAACUCAGAGAUCACCUACCUCUAUGUUGGAACUAAAGGUGUGUGUCACCCUACCUGGCUUUUAAGUUUCUUUUGUUAUUGUUGUUUUAUCUAGUAUCAAGGUGAAACUAGACUCAGAAGUGUUUAAAAGCCUUCUUUUUCUAUUUUAUGGAAUAAUUAAAAUAGUAUUGGCAUUAGUUCUUUGAAAUCUGGAUAGAAUUCUGUAUGAAUCCAUCUAUUUCUGGAAUCUUUCUAAUGGGAACUUUACUACUAUUUCAAUCUAAUGGUUGGUUUUAGAUCUAUUUGAAUUAUUUCUUUAGUCUUGGCAUGUUGUAUAUAUCUAGGAAUCCAUUCAUUUAUUUGCAUUUUCCAAUUUAGUGGAAUGUAUCCUUAAGAUUUUGUGAAUUUCAGCCAAGUGCUGGUAGUAUGGGUUCAUGUCUUUAAUCCCAGCACUCAUUUCUGUUACAGUGUUAUCUCUUUUUUUUUUUUUCCCCUACAUUUUACUAAUUUGUGUCUUUUUCUCUAGCUGCCCUCAGAUUUACCUGUCUCCUGAGUGCUGGAUUAAAGUCAUAUGUGACCAUGCCCAGCUUGAUUUUAAUUUUUUGUGUUUAUGGAUAUUUUGCCUAUAUGUGUGUCUAUAUGUGUGCUUGGUACCUGUGGAGGCCAGAAGAAUGUUAGGUUCCCUUGGAACUAGAGUUACAGAUGAUGAUGAGCUGCUGUGUGGGUGCUGGAAGUCAAGCCCGGUUCCUCUGGAAGAGCAGCCAGUGCUUCUAAUCACUAAGCUAUCUAUCUCUCCAGCCGUUAGGGGUUUUGUCUGUUUGUUUGUUUGUUUGUUUGUUUGUUUUGUGGGGGGGUGGGGGUUGUUGUCUGUUAUUGAGACAAGGUUUCAUAUAGUUCUGACUACCCUGGAAUUCACUGUGUAGACCAGUCUGGCCUGGAAUUCACAGGGAUCUGCUUGCCUCUGCCUCCCCAGCACUGGGAUUAAAGGUGUGCACCAAAACACACAGACUCUCUCCCAAGGCUUGUACCUCUAGUUGUUUUCUCUUACUGAAUCUUAUUCUGCUAGAAAUGGUUGUAGUGUUUCCCUGUUAACUGAGAUGCUGGCUCUAGUGUUAAGGUCUCACCAUCCUACCUAAUGCUAGGACGGGAGCCAGUGACUCUUGACAUUCUUCAUUGUCUUUGUGAGAAAUAGGUGUUGAAUUUUAUCAAGGUGGGGUUUUGUGGGUAGUUUUUUUUCUCCUCAGAACUAUUUAGAAUAAUGUUAUUGUUUUAGUUUUCCAACAUUAAACCAACCUUAAAUUCCUGUAAUAAUUAUCAUUUGCCUUGUGUUAAUUAUGUUCUUUGGUUUAGGUUCUAUUUGUUGUUACUUUAUUGUCUUGAUAUUCAUAGGUUUGUAACUUUCCUUUUUGUUGCCAUUUUUAAUUACUUUGCUGUAUUUGCACAGGGCAGAAUGGGGGUGUCAAUCAAUAAUGUUCAUAAAAGAAAUUACAGGGCAUUUUCAGUAUCCUCAUAUUUAGUUCUGGAACACCUUCAGGCUAUAUUGGAACUGUCAAGGCUUUAGAAGUUUGAAAGUGUUCUGUCUGUUUCCAUUGAAAUCUUACCAUACUUCUUCAGGUAAUGUGGUGAAUUUUGGAAGGCUACUUUCCUUUAGUAAGUUUUCCUUUUCAGGUAAAGUUCCAAACUUUGUAUACAUUGUUUGCCAAGUAUAUACAUGUAUGACUGCUUUCUUAGGACAGGCUUUUGUGUGUGGCCCAUACUGUAUCGCCAAGGCUGAAAAUGCACUCCUCUGUGGCCCUGACCUGUGCCCUGUCACUUACAUUUGUUUUCUUCUUGCCAGUUCUCACUCUGUGUUUUGAUUUUGCGUAAGUUAAUCAUCUGUGCCCUUUGUUAGGGUUUGUUGUUGUUGUUAUUGUUGUUUAACUCAGAUUUUCCCUUUUCCCCUCUUCCUUUUUAGUUUUCUGCUCUUACCUUUAUUUCUUUUCAUGUGAUUUUUCUGUUUUGCUGUUCAUUGUUUAAUUUUUUAAUUUAGAAAUUCAAUUUGGGGCCAGGUGUGGUGGCACUUGCUUUUAAUCCCACCACUCCGGAAGCAUAAAUUUGUGAGUUCAUGGACAGCCAUGGUUAUGUGAAAGAACUGUUUCAAAAAAAGAAAAGAAGAAAAAAUGUCAUUUGUUUUCAUCCCUCUUCCACCUUUAUUGAUAAAAGUGUUUGACACUUGGAAUUUUCCAUCAAUUGCUAUCAUUACUUUAAUUGUAUCCCAAAGACUCCUUUGAGACAAAGUGGCUCAAGCUGCUGCACACUUAGUGUGUUACCCAGCUGGCUUCAGCUCUGCUGCACCUCCUCCCCGAGUUCUGGGAGCACAUGCUUGUGCCACCAUGUUUGACACUGGGUCUGACAGGUUGUUUAGAAAUGUUACGGUUUUCAUGUUGUUGGCUUUCUGUGUGCAUGGUUUUUUUCUUCCUUUUACCAGGUAGCAUAUUUGCAGCUUGAGUUUCUAGGUGGGUAGGCCUAUUGUUGCUCAUUUUUAGGUCGUGUCCCACCCACCCGCCUCUCCCCGCCCCCCAUCAUGGUUAGUGUGUGGGCAUUUCUUUCUCUGGAAAUGUUCAGAUCUCCACUUAUAACCUAACAUAGAGCUUUCUACUAUUAGAACAGAAUACUUGAGAUAAUCAGUGUCUAAAGAGGGAAGGCUUGUUUUGCUCUCAGUUCUUAAGAUUUUAGUCUCUAGUCAGCCCCAUUGCUUUGGGCUUUGGGUGAAGCAACACAUAAUGACAGAAGAAGUCAGUUCACCUUAAAAUGACUGGGAGGCAAGAGAUGAGGGCGCGGCCGCAAAUUGCCACUCUUCCUUCAAGAAUGUCCCCCAGUGACUUAACUUCUUCCCUAAAGUCCCCACUGGGGAACUCUUCCCAUAGUCCCUUGACCUUUGUGGGACCCCUGCAGUCCUAACUAUUGUGUGUCAGCUUUUGUGAAGGUCUCAUGUGAACUUAAGGUACAGAUGUAUGUCUGCCUUCUGUUAUUUGUGAUACAUAAAUUACUUUUACUGAAAGUACUUUGUCACUAAGAUGCAUCUCCAUUUUUUUGGCGGGAGGCAAGGUGGAAUGGGAUGGAUAAAAACGUUGUCCAGGCUAGCAGUCCUCCUGCCUGCCUGCCCUCCUGAGUAACUAGAAUUACAGGAUGCACUACCACAUAACUCCAAGGUUAGCACAGAAUAUAUAAUGGGGCCCUGUCAGAGUUGGGAGUCAGAGGAAAAAAGAAAGGUUUUCUUUGGUGAGUUAAAGCCAUUCACAUUGUUAUAAUAACUUUAUAGUUGGCCUUAGUGUUAUCACUAUCUUGAUAAUUACUUUGAGUGUCUUGUCUGUAUUGGUUUUUUCUUUGUGGUAUUUUGUUCAAUGCUUUUAUUUCUAAACAUAUUUGGUACUUAGGAAAAAUUGAGGUUUUGAAC